rnacentral:rRNA from 1 species
UACGUAAGGGGCAAGCGUUGUCCGGAAUCAUUGGGCGUAAAGCGCGUGUAGGCGGCUCAGUAAGUCCGCUCUGAAAGCCCGGGGCUUAACCCCGGGAGGCGGGUGGAUACUGCUGAGCUUGAGUCCGGAAGAGGCGAGUGGAAUUCCCGGUGUAGCGGUGAAAUGCGCAGAUAUCGGGAGGAACACCAAUGGCGAAGGCAGCUCGCUGGGACGUGACUGACGCUGAAACGCGAAAGCAUGGGGAGCAAACAGG